GAUGAACGCUGGCGGCGUGCCUAAUACAUGCAAGUCGAGCGAACAGACGCGGUGCUUGCUCCUCUGACGUUAGCGGCGGACGGAUGACUAACACAAGGAUAACCUACCUAUAAGACUGGGAUAACUUAGGGAAACCGGUACCAAUAACGGAUAAUAUCUUGAAGCGCAUGGUUCAAUAGUGAAAGACGGUUUUGCUGGACCUUCUGGAUAGCUCCGCGCCGCAUUAGCUAGUUGGUAAGGUAACUGCUUACCAAGGCAAGCAUGCGUAGCCGACCUGAGAGGGUGAAGGGCCACACUGGAAGCGAGACACGGUACUGACUCCUACGGGAGGCAGCAGUAGCGAAUCGUCCGCAAUGGGCGAAAGCUUGCCGGAGCGACGCCGCGCUAGUGAUGAAGGUCUUCGGAUCGUAAAACUCUGUUAUUGGGGAAGAACAAAUGUGUAAGUAGCUAUGCACGUCUUGACGGUACCUGAUCAGAAAGCCACGGCUAACUACGUG
rnacentral:rRNA from 1 species